UCGUCCUAUUAUCACUCGGCGUGUCUCCUCAAGGUCACCGGGACAGUGUUGCCAACAUCACGGAAGCAGCCUUGCCAACCUAACAGCAGACAGUGUUUACUCAUCAUGUUGGGAAGACUGUGGCAGCUGUUUUGUGAGUGGGUAGACAUUCUGCAACGUUUUUUUACAGCAUCCUGUUGUCCUGGAUUGAACAGUUUUGACACAGAAGAUGAAGAAGAGGAGGAAGAAAAUCUUUUGGAAAGCCCAGUGGACGCGACGGAGAAGACUGACAAACAAGACUAAAUAGUGAAGUGCGCUCAACGUUCGUUAGCUAGUGAAAUUUUCAAUCCUGUUAAUACAUUUUAAAACUAUUUAAACGUGUUUUGCCGAAAUUUAAUAUGAAAUAUUGUCCCCAUGUUUUGCCGAAAAUGAGUUACCAAAUUGCUAAGUCAUCUAGGAAGGAGGCCUCGAUUGUUGCACAUGGAAUCUCCGUCGUAGAGCGGCCUCCGAGUCUUCGCUCUCUGUCCAACUCUGUCCUGGUCACUUGAUGACUACACUUUCUUUCACUUUUGUACUUAUUUAUUUGUGAAAUGUUUUGUUACGAUGUCUUAAAUACAUUGUUUUGUUUUGUAA